rnacentral:miRNA from 1 species
ACUAGGACACAUGGGGACACAGACACUGGGAGACCUGGGGACACUGAGACACUAGGGGACACUGAGACUAGUGUCUCAGUGUCUCAGUGUCCCCAAGUCUCCCAGUGUCUGUGUCCCAUGUCUCUCAGUG